GACGAACGCUGGCGGCGUGCUUAACACAUGCAAGUCGAACGAAGUGGCGAACGGGUGAGUAACGCGUAAUCCACCUGCCCUUCAGAGGGGUACAACAGUUGGAACCGACUGCUAAUACCGCAUACUGAAGGAGUGGGUUGCGUCUGAUUAGCUAGUUGGAGGGGUAACGGCCAACAAAGGCGAGGAGCAGUAGCCGGGCUGAGAGGAUGAACGGCCACAUUGGGACUGAGACACGGCCCAGAAGCAUACGGGAGGCAGCCGGGGGGAAUCUUCCGCAAUGGACGAAAGACUGACCGAGCAACGCCGCGUGAGUGAUGACGGCCUUCGGGUUGUAAAGCUCUGAUAAUCGGGACGCGGUACCGGAAGAGAAAGCCACGGCUAACUACGUGCCAGCAGCCGCGGUAAUUC
rnacentral:rRNA from 1 species